rnacentral:tRNA from 1 species
AGGAGUCAGCGGGCCUCGAUCCCACACAAACUAAUUAACAGCUAGUCCGCCCAACCAACGGGCAUUAACGCC